GGGAAACAGAGACUAGACAGCAUGACAGAAGGACUUUUUUGACACAGAAAUACUCUGUCAUACAUCCAACUCGCUUUGAGACUUUAGUUAUGUAUCGCAAGAAAAUCCAACUCGUUAGUAGUGUAAACUAUAGUCAGAAUGCAUGAAAUAGCAUUAGACCUCCCCUUUUAAUAGAUAUUCAUCACUAUUUACUUAAUCAUUUAAUCUUUACACAUUUGGGCCAUCAGAGUCUUUCUUCAUGUAGUUAGAAUUGGUUAUAAAUUUUAAGUUCACACUUAUUGACAAAUCAUGUUUUGUGCAUGAAAAUGUUUACAUGUGAGUCAGUCAGUGUCUCAAUCAGCUCCUUAGUUCACUAGUCAGUGCACUACUCAGGGAUCAUAUAACACUCAUGCUAAAAACAUUCCCACAAUGCACCAUAAAGCCAGUGUGCAUCGCUGCUGUCUAUAUCCUCAAACCAACUGAGCUGAAAUACAUGUUUAAUUCAUAUACAAAAACAGAUUAAUAAAACGGUUUAAUGUUAAUACAGUAAUUCAUCCAUAAUCAUAGUCAAAUCCUGUAAUAAACAGAGAGAUGAUAAAACACCAGACAAAAUUAUUCUACAAAAUGAUUAAAAAGAUAAAUUAUAAAAAAUGAUACAAAUAUUAAAUAGUGUGAUGAGCAGAUACAUUGAUGGACAGAAUGAGAUGAACGAGGAAUCUUCAUUUAGAAGCUCAUUUAAAUACAGCAUCAGUUCAUUUGCAUAUUGAUCAGAUGCUUCAGUGCUCUGAGAGUGUUUAUAGUGCUGUGAGUUUAACACUUCAUCACUGACACACACAACAAUCUUCAUCAACAUGACCUUCAUCAUCAUCUUCAUCUGGACUCUCACAGCGUUUGCUCAAGAGUGUAGAGGACAGAUCAGCGUCACUCAGAGUCCCUCAACGACAGCAGCUCAACCAGGAGAAACAGUCAAGAUCAGCUGUAGAACCAGCACAGAUGUGGCUGAACGUAGUGCACCACGUUACUAUUUAAGCUGGUACUUACAGAAACCUGGAGAAGCUCCUAAACUCCUGAUUUAUCGAACAUCAGACCGUUACACUGGAACUCAAUCUAGAUUCAGUGGAACGAGUUCAUCUGCGACUGAUUUCACUCUGACCAUCAGUGGAGUCCAGACUGAAGAUGCUGGACAUUAUUACUGUCUGAGUCGACACUAUAUCAGUAGUAGCUGGGUGUUCACACAGUGAUAAAGGCUGGUACAAAAACCUGUGUCAGUCAGAGUCACAGUGACUGAACUGAUGCUGCAGCUGAUCAAACACUAUCACUCACUACUGACACACAGAGACCAAACACAGAACUACACAUGAGCUCACAACUGAGUUAGGACUCACAUCAGCUCUAUUAGACUCAGAUCUGUCCUGUGACAGACAGGUUUGACUCAGUUAUGCUCUGAUUUUGUGAUAAAUUGAUAUCAAAUCAAUCCAAAAACACACAAAUGUUUCUCUGUUACAGUUUGAUAGUUUUAUGUUUUUAGGUUAUACUUACAAUCAUACUAAUAAACUGCCUUAUGAAACUACGACUCAA